UAAUACGUAGGUGGCAAGCGUUGUCCGGAAUUAUUGGGCGUAAAGAGCAUGUAGGCGGAGAUUUAAGUCUGUUGUGAAAAUGCGGGGCUCAACCCCGUAUUGCGAUGGAAACUGAAUUUCUUGAGUGCAGGAGAGGAAAGGGGAAUUCCCAGUGUAGCGGUGAAAUGCGUAGAUAUUGGGAGGAACACCAGUGGCGAAGGCGCCUUUCUGGACUGUGUCUGACGCUGAGAUGCGAAAGCCAGGGUAGCGAACGGG
rnacentral:rRNA from 1 species